GCGCGAAAACUUUACAAUGCUGGCAACAGCGAUAAGGGAACCUCGCGUGCCAGGUUACAAAUCUGGCUGUCGAGAUGCCUAAAAAGCAUUUCAUAGCAAGGGCCGGGCAAGACCGGUGCCAGCCGCCGCGGUAACACCGGCGGCUCGAGUGGUCACCGUUAUUAUUGGGUCUAAAGGGUCUGUAGCCGGCCGGAUAAGUCUCUUGAGAAAUCUGGCAGCUUAACUGUCAGGCUUUCAGGAGAUACUGUCUGGCUCGAGGACGGGAGAGGUGAGAGGUACUUCAGGGGUAGGGGUGAAAUCUUGUAAUCCGUGAAGGACCACCAGUGGCGAAGGCGUCUCACCAGAACGGACCUGACGGCAAGGGACGAAAGCUAGGGGCACGAACC
rnacentral:rRNA from 1 species